rnacentral:rRNA from 1 species
CAGCCGCCACGGUAAUACAGAGGGUGCGAGCGUUAAUCGGAUUUACUGGGCGUAAAGCGUGCGUAGGCGGCUUCUUAAGUCGGAUGUGAAAUCCCUGAGCUUAACUUAGGAAUUGCAUUCGAUACUGGGAAGCUAGAGUAUGGGAGAGGAUGGUAGAAUUCCAGGUGUAGCGGUGAAAUGCGUAGAGAUCUGGAGGAAUACCGAUGGCGAAGGCAGCCAUCUGGCCUAAUACUGACGCUGAGGUACGAAAGCAUGGGGAGCAAACAGGAUUAGAUACCCGAGUAGCCCUGUCUCUUAUACA